UCAAUUUUAUGUUUUGGUUGAUCCAAAUUCCUGGAAAGUGGUGUAGUGGCACACCCGAAAAUUUAAAUAAUUCAAUUAUAGGUCUAUUUUGCGAGAUUUUAUACAAUUUUAUGUCGGUUUUAAGUUUCGGUUGAUCCAAAUUCCCGCAAAUUGGUGUAGUGGUCCACCCGAAAAAUUUAAAUAAUUCAAUUAUAGGUCUAAUUUGCGAGACUUUAAACAAUUUUUUAAUAGUUAAUUUUAGUGGCCCACCCUAAUAUUUUUUUCUGGCUCC
rnacentral:lncRNA from 1 species